GGCGCAUGUUUUCGCUGCGUCUCUAUUUAUUGUUGAGAAGUGAUUCCGGGUUUCUGACUGAAGCGUUAAAAUGGGCCUCUGCUGCCACCUGCUGCACAGGACAUGACGUCUUAUAAUCAUUAUAAAGCAUUAUAUAUGUACAUUAUCAGUGCUGACUAUAGACACGGGCACAUUUAUAGUAUUUCCAUAAUGCCCUUCAGACAUAACAAUAUUAAUGCAAAUCUGGGGUGUGACUUCUAUCUUUUUAAAGACCAGCAGUGACGUGAAACUGGCAGCAGAGUGCGCCCCACAUCCGCAGAGCGCGUCUUCUAUUUUGGGUUUCUUAAAGGAGGUUAUCGGUUUCCCCCCCCCCCAGACAAAAUGAGCUCAAUGGGCGUCCAAGGCAAUGAAGAGAGACUUUGUCUGGAGGAAUUGGAGGCGGCUCUGAUCUAAUAUGACAAAGAACGUUUUAAAAGCUCCGGAUGCUGCCGCUGCUGUGGACAGCUGUGAUUUGUAAUGCAAAAGAGCCCAAUGCAAACGCGCUGGUCGAUGUGGACGUGAUGGCAGCAGCGGCGGGUCGGGUCGCUGAUUGGUCCCCUCGGGGGGACCGGAGGACGGAACUGGACGCCUGUGACCACAGAAGCUCACGGAAGUCUCAGUCGGAAGCAGUGUCCUUUUUCUUCACGCCGUGUACACACUUUUAAAAUGGGACGAAUAAAUAAAUACACAAGCUGGCAAAACCAGAACAAUAUAUUCAUACAAGCAAACAAACAUAAGUGCACAUUGGGGAGAAUGAGCAAAGAUAAGAGGUCUUAAAUGAACAGAUUUACAAUUUUUUUCUGUUCGUAAAAAAGAAAUCAUCCAUCAGCAGCCGGCUAGCUUAGCUUAGCAUAAAGCUAGCGUAUGUGCAAAGGUAACUGAAUCUGCUUACCCCCUAAAGCUCUCAGCGCGUUCCCCCAAAAUACGACACAACGAGGUAUCAAUCAUCUUGUUUAAUGCAGAAAAGCUAAAGCUACACAUUUCCCAAAAAUGUUGAACUACUUCUUUAAGAAGGCACUGCAUGGAUUUAUGAUCAGUCUCUUUCUAUGUCUACUGUCACAGCAAACAUCAAGUGAAAACCAUUGCAUGUUAAAUAUACGGUAGAGUGGA